GUGGGAAACUCCACACUCCUUCAACCCUCAGCACUUUCUGGACCAGGACGGUAAAUUUAGGAAGAGAGAGGCCUUCCUUCCUUUUUCUGCAGGUAAGCGCAUGUGUCUCGGAGAACCACUGGCCAGGAUGGAGUUAUUCCUCUUUUUCACCGCCCUUCUUCAGAGGUUUUCAUUCUCAGCACCUGCUGGAGAGCAGCCCAGUCUGGAGUUCAAGCUGGGAGCCACUCAUUGUCCCAAACCUUAUCGCCUCUGUGCCACACCUCGAUAAACCACUUACUAUCUAUCACUAUGUGCCGCUACAUUUAUCUUGUAAUAUGUCAAGAAUAUCUGCUAUAUUAUUCUUUUUCUGUUGUUUAAAUCAUUGUCAUCAUUAUUUGCAAGAAAACGUAUUAAGGACUGGAACAUGUUAAAUUAACUUUAACUGUUAUUUUACAGUUUGGCAGCAUUAGUUCAAGUUUUUAGAUUGAUUACUAAUAAAAAAAAUAAGUUGUUCCAAGUUGUAUUUUUAUUUUAUUUUAAAGCAUUUCUCAGGUGUUGUAUAAUUAAUUACCAUUAUAACUAAGAACACAAGUUUUUAAUUUCAAAAAUGAGGUUUUUCUAAUGAUAACCAUUCAGGGGAGGAGACUUAAAAUCCUGACUUCAAGGGAAAUGAAGUUAUCAAGCUAAUCUCAUGAAGUUAAUCAUUUUUACCUGCAAUUGUUUAUGGUUUUUAUCCCAAUUUACUGAUAAAUUCAGUAAAUUAUU